GCUGCCUUUCAUAAAUACUAGGUUAAAAAGUUUUAAUAGGGGUUCUAAUAAUACUGGCAUACCGCAUUUAAUCAUUUCGUUAGAAAUUAAGUCUUCAGCUGAUGAUUUACCAUUUUUAAGUGUUUUAACUGCAUUUAAAAUUUCAGCUGGCUGAAUGUGUUUAUUAAAUUCGUUGUCAGAGUUGCAUGUAUUUAGUGUCUUUUUUAAGGCUGUUAAUUUUUCAAUAAUUAUGUCAUGGAAUUUAUUGUUU
rnacentral:lncRNA from 1 species